rnacentral:rRNA from 1 species
UACGGGUGAGGCAAGCGUUGUUCGGAAUCACUGGGCUUAAAGCGCGUGUAGGCGGCUUGGUAAGUAUCUUGUGAAAUCCCUUUUCUCAAUGAAGGAACUGCGAGGUAUACUGCCGGGCUUGAGGUAGGUAGGGGUGCCUGGAACUCUAGGUGGAGCGGUGAAAUGCGUAGAUAUCUAGAGGAACGCCCGUGGCGAAAGCGGGGCACUGGGCCUUACCUGACGCUGAGACGCGAAAGCGUGGGUAGCAAACGGG